CAGUAGCCACGGUAAUACGAAGGGUGCAAGCGUUAAUCGGAAUUACUGGGCGUAAAGCGUGCGUAGGCGGUGAGUUAAGUCUGCUGUGAAAUCCCCGGGCUCAACCUGGGAAUGGCAGUGGAUACUGGCUCGCUAGAGUGUGUCAGAGGAUGGUGGAAUUCCCGGUGUAGCGGUGAAAUGCGUAGAUAUGCGGAGGAACACCGAUGGCGAAGGCAGCCCCCUGGGCCAACACUGACGCUCAUGCACGAAAGCGUGGGGAGCAAACAGGAUUAGAGACCCCGGUAGUCCCUGUCUCUUAUAC
rnacentral:rRNA from 1 species